rnacentral:rRNA from 1 species
UACGUAGGUCCCGAGCGUUGUCCGGAUUUAUUGGGCGUAAAGCGAGCGCAGGUGGUUUAUUAAGUCUGGUGUAAAAGGCAGUGGCUCAACCAUUGUAUGCAUUGGAAACUGGUAGACUUGAGUGCAGGAGAGGAGAGUGGAAUUCUAUGUGUAGCGGUGAAAUGCGUAGAUAUAUGGAGGAACACCAGUGGCGAAGGCGGCUUACUGGACGGCAACUGACGCUGAGGCUCGAAAGCGUGGGGAGCAAACAGG